rnacentral:rRNA from 1 species
AAUAGAUACCCUGGUAGUCCAUGCCGUAAACGUUGGGCACUAGGUGUGGGGCUCAUUCCACGAGUUCCGUGCCGCAGCAAACGCAUUAAGUGCCCCGCCUGGGGAGUACGGCCGCAAGGCUAAAACUCAAAGGAAUUGACGGGGGCCCGCACAAGCGGCGGAGCAUGCGGAUUAAUUCGAUGCAACGCGAAGAACCUUACCAAGGCUUGACAUGCACGGGAAGCCACCAGAGAUGGUGGUCUCUUUGGACACUCGUGCACAGGUGGUGCAUGGUUGUCGUCAGCUCGUGUCGUGAGAUGUUGGGUUAAGUCCCGCAACGAGCGCAACCCUCGUCCCAUGUUGCCAGCGGGUUAUGCCGGGGACUCAUGGGAGACUGCCGGGGUCAACUCGGAGGAAGGUGGGGAUGACGUCAAAUCAUCAUGCCCCUUAUGUCUUGGGCUUCACGCAUGUUACAAUGGCCGGUACAAAGGGCUGCGAUGCCGUAAGGUGGAGCGAAUCCCGAAAAAGCCGGUCUCAGUUCGGAUUGGGGU